ACCCCCUCACCCCCCUCCCAGGUGCGGCACUUGGAGGUGAGCAGCGCAUCCAUGGCGGAGGAUCUGUGCCGGAAGAGCGCCAUCAUUGAAAGCUUCGUCAGGGACAGCCGGCUGGAGGCUGCAGGACCCCCGUUGCCCCCCGGCGUGGGGCGGGGCCGGGGGAGGAGGGGCUGCGGGAGAUGAACAAAAAACUGCAGAACCUCCUGGAGGAGCAGCUGACCAAAAACCUGCACAUGAGCCAGGACCUGGAAAUGCUCUCCCAGGAGCUGGCGCGGCUCCGCCAUGAG